ensembl:misc_RNA Metazoa_SRP Metazoan signal recognition particle RNA
GCUGGGUGUGGUGGCGCACACCUGUAGUCCCAGCUACUUGGGAGGCUGAGGCAGGAGAAUCACUUGAACCCGGGAGGCGGAGCUUGCAGUGAGCCGAGAUUGCGCCACUGCACUCCAGCCUGGGUGACAGAGCGAGACUCUGUCUCAA